rnacentral:rRNA from 1 species
AGGGCACCACCAGGUGUGGAGCCUGCGGCUUAAUUUGACUCAACACGGGGAAACUCACCAGGUCCAGACAUAACUAGGAUUGACAGAUUGAUAGCUCUUUCAUGAUUUUAUGGGUGGUGGUGCAUGGCCGUUCUUAGUUGGUGGAGUGAUUUGUCUGGUUAAUUCCGAUAACGAACGAGACCUUAACCUGCUAAAUAGCCAGGCCGGCUUUUGCUGGUCGCAGGCUUCUUAGAGGGACUGUCAGCGUCUAGCUGACGGAAGUUUGAGGCA